AAGCCUAUGAUGAUUUUGCUUUUAUAUUUUGGAAUUACCGUCUGAAUUUUUCUCUUGAUGAGAAUUGGCAAUCUGAGGCUUCUA